rnacentral:rRNA from 1 species
AUGAGCAUUAUCAGCUGGAACUGCCGGGGCCUCGGGCAGCCCCGGACAGUUCAGGAGCUUGUGUGCCUUGUGCACACACACAAGCCCAAGAUCGUCUUUCUCUCUGAAACUAGGCAAUGCAAGGAAAAGGUAAAGGCAAUAAACUGGAGGAUAGGCCUCAAACACUGCUUGACCCAUGAUGGUAAGGGCAAGGGUGCGGGCAUUGCUUUGUAUUGGGACGAUUCAAUAAAAAAAAGGUUUUGUCGUAUGGGUUGA